GCCAAGCAAGGAAGAGAGAGAAAGAAAGGAAGAACAAAAGGGAAAAACAAGAAAACCUAGGUGGAAAUUCAAAGAAAAAGUGAAGAAAUCAAGGAAACAAGCUAGGUAAGUUAAAAUUUCUUUAGUUCUCCUUGAUACCUAGCUUACCCAUUCUUUUGUUCUUGAUUUUCAUGGUUGAAUAUUGAGUUAUUAUGAUGAAUUCAAUUCUGAAAAAUGGGUAUGGAAGAGGAAUUGUUGUUAGAUUAAUUUGAUUUUAAGUUAUGUUAGUGUUUUUAGUUAGUUUAGCAUAUUUAGGAAUAAAACAACAAGAAAAGAAUUUAUUUUCCUCCAUUACCAUUAUUGGCCGAAUUUUCUAGGGGAAUAUUGGCUGAUAAUCUUGAUGUUUAUUUGAGGAAUUAUGAUGAAUAAUGAUGAAUUAUGAGCCUAGAAAAAUAAUGGAAAUUUUCGGAGGAAAAAUAUGAAUUUUUACCCACUAGGGGUAUUUUCGUAAUUUACUAUCAGGACUGAUAAAUUGAAUCUCAUUCACAGUCACUAAGGUAAUUUAAGUAUAAUUGGAGUGUAAAAAGUGAGAAAAAUUAAUUUGGAGUUAAAUUGGAGAUAAUAGGCCGAAUUAGGUCAGCACCGCAUUUAAGCGGUAGUCGGAUAAGUUGUUUAUCAUAUCAUGCAUAUAUACCGAGCCUAAAUUGAUUUUAUAAUGGUCAAGCAUUGAUGUGGUGAAUUAUGUAUUAUACAUUGUGGAUAGGUGGUGAGCAAAGUACACUGGUAAAAGUAUAGAGAUUGUGCUUGGAGACUGAGAUUAGGAGUACAUCGACUCCUAGAACUGUGAGUGAACUUAUUAUCGUCUUAAUUAUCUAGAGUAGUUUAUACAAUUGUGUGAUUUUAUGAAAAAUGGGUUUAAAUGGUAAAUUGCUAUGUUUUAAGAGAAAUUGUGAUUUUGUAAAAUGAUUUUAUAAAUUUUCUAAAAAAUUAAAUACUGAUUUUGAAAUAGAGUAAUUGGAGACUACCUGCUUGUGUUACAAAUUUAUGGUUUUGAAUUGAAUGGCUUAUGACAAUAAAUGAGCAUGAAUGGCUAAACUGAUUUUGGUGUUAGAAUUAUUUAUACUGUGUAUUCAGCCUUAAGAGGCUAGUUUGCGAUAAAUUGCCAUAUCAUGCUAGAAUGAAUUUUAUUGAUUGGUGGAUUAUAUAUUAAUUAUUCACUGCAGAGGGGGUUCCGUGGACUAGCCUAUUAAAGGGGUAUGGUAAACUCCAUUAUAUUCUUACCUCGAAUGGAGAGACUCGUAGGGUAUCUCAUGGGGUAAAGCUUAGGGUUCACUUCAUUCCAAACCACCACGUGAAGGGGAACUCAACCAACGCCAAGGAACGACUGUAUUUUUCUCAAACUAAAAAUAUAUUUUAAGUGUAUACAAAAAUUUUAACAGCCUUGGCGGACUCGGUUGGAUGUCCUGCGCAAGGUAUCACCGAGUAUGAGUUUUGGCAUGAGCCAAAGUUUUAAGAAAUUCAUAAGCCAAGUUGAUUUCUCGAUUUAUAUGGAUUGAUUUUAUUUGGUUGAAAUGAGUUGAAAGGUAAUGAAAUUACAGUAUGAUGACUUAUUUUAGUUGUCUCCAUUUACUCGAUUUUAGAUAGUUUAGAUGGUAUCUGUUUACUCACUGGGAUUUUAUAAUCUCACCACCCUAAUUUCCUCACAUUUCAGGCUCGAGGAAUUUCAUAGUUAGCUGACUUUGACAAGGACUUUCAAUUGGAC
rnacentral:lncRNA from 1 species